rnacentral:ncRNA from 1 species
GGUUUUGCUAAGCACAGUCCUUCUGUAGCAGAGCUUAACGGAGACCUUGCACCCGAGAGGGAGGAGGCGACUAUAAACAAGUCCUAGUGCAAGUCAGCGCUGCUGGCAACACAAUCGAAUUGCGGGGACGCUUUAAAGCUCAGUGGUACCAACUCUCCGGGCCCCGGAGGGGGCGGGCAGUGCCCGAGGUCAGAACCCACUGAGAUGUACAAUAAGCAAUCUGCAGCGGUCCGUUUUCGACCGCUCACAGACUAAGUGGUUGUGGGGAGCCUGGCUCCUUAAGAUAUAGUCGGGCCCGGUGAGCAGUCACCGGGAGUUCUGCGUCCGUAGGUGAACCUGCGGAAGGAUCAUUA